rnacentral:rRNA from 1 species
UACGUAGGGGGGCAAGCGUUGUCCGGAAUCAUUGGGCGUAAAGCGCGUGUAGGCGGCUCGGUAAGUCCGCUCUGAAAGUCCAGGGCUCAACCCUGGGAUGCGGGUGGAUACUGCCGGGCUCGAGUCCGGAAGAGGCGAGUGGAAUUCCUGGUGUAGCGGUGAAAUGCGCAGAUAUCGGGAAGAACACCCGUGGCGAAGGCGGUUCUCUGGGACGGUACUGACGCUGAGACGCGAAAGCGUGGGGAGCGAACAGG